rnacentral:rRNA from 1 species
UACAGAGGGUGCAAGCGUUAAUCGGAGUUACUGGGCGUAAAGGGCGCGUAGGCGGUUAUUUAAGUGAGUUGUGAAAUCCCUGGGCUUAACCUAGGAAUGGCAACUCAGACUGGAUGACUGGAGUACUGUAGAGGGUAGUGGAAUUUCCGGUGUAGCGGUGAAAUGCGUAGAGAUCGGAAGGAACACCAGUGGCGAAGGCGGCUCACUGGCCCGGUACUGACGCUGAGGUGCGAAAGCGUGGGGAGCAAACAGGG